GUCACCUAAUAGAAAAUAAAAUACAACAGCAUAUUGGUAGAAAGGAAGAGGUAGAAGAUUUUCCCACUAGGUGAGAGAAAUUGCUGCACCAUAAUAUUAGCUAUUUUUUUUAUCAAUUAUUGUAUGGAAAAUGUUAUAUAUUAUAACAAUCUUUGUGAUUUUUGUAGAAUUGUCCCCACAGAACAGAGAAAAAAACCUCUGAUUGAUAAGUACAAGACAUUUGCCAGAAUUUCAAGUAACUUAUGUUUCAUUUCCGUCAGAAAGCUGGGUAAGAAGCACCAUGCGGUUUGCUCCUCAAGGACCGUCCGGUACCUCUGGGCCUUCGCCAGCGGGUAGACUGGGAUUCUCCAGAGAUGGGCUGUGGUCUCCGCCCUACACACACCUGGAGCCCUUGUUGCUGCUCCUCCACUGCCCUGGCCCCGGCCCCACCUCAGUGAUUUGAUGGUACCAGUCGUCUCUCAGAGCCUGGGCUCUGCCGGCUGCUGGGGUGCCCAGCCCAGGGCAAGCGGAAUGGCGGCCGCUUGAAUGCUGCAGAGGCCAUUAGAGGCUCCAUGGCCUGAGAAUACGGGGUCUACAGACGCAAGCUCAUCAGUCUUUUCAGGCCUUGGGGCCUCGCAGAUCCUGGGCCUGGGGUGCAUCGAAACCUCUCUUUUGUUCCUUGUCCCGAGAAUGACCGACUUUGCCCUCCGCUGGCCUGGAAGUGAGUAGAGCCGCACAGAACAACGGGUGGAGGAGAGGUGGGCGGCCAUGGGCUGCUGGUAUCCUGCAGAGAGAAUCAGGCGGCCGGCAGGCCCUGCCUGGAGAAGGUUUACAGGCUGUUUACAGAAGGCCUGUGUAUAAAAUAUAAAAAGCUGCUCUCAGCUUUCCCCUUGACCUUUAAAAAAAUCUGAUUUGCUACAUCUAGGCAUUCUAGACGUAAAGAGGUUGCAGAUGUAUGAUAGCAUAGCGUUAGAAAAAUCAUGCGUGAACGAAUACAUUGAAAAUGCUUUUUGCUUUGAAAAAUUACAAAAAAGGCAUGUCUUCUGGAAGUGGCUGUGUGAAAUGCAGUUAAACCAGCUCUGAGACCUACCUGGGAGGGACAUGCGGCCACAGUCAUUCCAAAGUUCGAGGUCCUGGAGCCGAUGACUGUGAGGAGGAAGAGUGGAAGGAAAGAUUCCAGGCCAGAUUGGGCGUAUAUAGAAGACAUCUUUAUGUUACAGUCAUUGUUUUGUUUUCGCAUUGUGUGUGGUGAGAAAUGCUAAGUACUUUAGUGAAAUAUCCAGCUAGUUUUAGAGAACUAGAUAUUCUGAAGUUCCUGAUGAAUGUUCAAAGUAGAAGUAGUAAAAUAACAGAUUUUGUAAAUAACCUUUUUGUUAAAAUUCAUACGAAAUGUUUUUGGGUGUUUUGCCAGGCUCCCUCCUGAGUGGUGUAUAUUGUGUUUGGACACUGGUUUGAGAGAGGAGGAGAUGGAGGAGGAGAGAAGGAAGAAAUGCAAAGCUCUCCACUCUAGUAUGUUUCUAGUGAAGCAAGACUGAUUAUUGUCCCCUGUGUUGUGCAUUUUGCUUUACUUUGCUGUGUAUAUAGUGGACAAAUGAUUCCUAAUGUACAACAUAUAGCCCUUCCAGAUGUUAAAUGGUUUUCCAGUGUGUGACAAAGUUGAGUUAGUUAUGCUAAUUUUGUAUAUUUUAUGUUGAUUCCUUGGAAAAAUUGUCUUCUGAAAAUUGGUGCAUUCUAGCCCACUGAGGUGAUGAAAAAGGGAAGGGUUCUGGGCCAGAAUGUAGACAUUUUGAAGACACUUUCAAAUUAUAGCUAUUGUUAUCUGUGUGCAGUUUAGGACUGCUGUGUAAAUAAUGGGCAAAUGUAUACUCUAAAUAGUGGACAAAUUUAAGUCCUUAUUUGAAACAGCUAGUCAUUCUAGAUGUUUAGAUGUGCACAAAGUAUGUUAAAAGCAGAGGUAGCAAUACAUUUUGUAUAUAUAUUAUUGUUAAAUUCAUAAGAAAUUCAUGUAAGAACUCUGCUUUUGCUACAUAUAGGCAUUUUAGCUGUAAAGGGGUUGCUGAGGUAUGAUAAAGUAGUGUUUUUAUAUGGUCUUUUGGAAAUGGAAUGAUGAACCCCCUUCUCUGAGCAGUACACAGUGUUGUGUUUUUGCUGCUUCAGGGACAAAGGUGCAGAAGAAAGUCUAAAAGAUAUUUCAUCAAUGUGUUUGCAGUGGGGCAAGGUUGUCCAUACUGUUUGUCACUUUGUUUUACUUUGCUAUGUAUAGAAUGUAUAUAAAGAGUCCUACUGUACAACAUCUGUCUUCCUAGAUGUUAAUGAGGUUGCUGGUGUGUGACAAAAAUAGAGCUAGUAAAUGAACACACUGAUUAUGCUUUGUGUUAAAAUUCAUAGGAAAGGCGUCUUAAAACCACUUAUGGAAGUGAAAUUGUUGAAAUUCCCUCUAAGCGGAUAUAUAUAUGCCUAUACAUGUCUACUGGGUUGGGAGAAAUCAGAAAGGAAAGGGUUCUAGAUCUGAAUGUUCUUGUUGAGAAGACACUUGCACAUUAGAACCAUUGUUACAUGUGUUUUUUUUUUGGGGGGGGGGAACUAAUGUAUGGAAAAUGGGAAACUGAAGUCCUUACUGGAAACACCUUACUGGAGACCAGAUGUUUAAAAGUAACACCCAUUUAAAUAACUUCUGUUGUUUCAUAGGAGUGGCUGCAUUUUGGGAAUGGCAUUAAACUUGAGGUCUUGGGUCACUGGGUGGUGGGCAAGGGUCGGUGGUGGUGAGUGAAGUAUGCAUAGAAGGAUUACCUUCCUGUUAGAUUGUUCAGAUCAUCUAUCUGUUGUACUAUACCUACAUUCUAGUUAAUAUUGCUGUGUAUUAAAGAUAAGUAAAGGCUCGGGGGGCCAGUGCCAUGGCUCACUUGGUUAUUCCUCUGCCUGCGGCACUGGCAUCCAUAUGGGCACCGGGUUCUAGUCCCGGUUGCUCCUCUUCCAGUCCAGCUCUCUGCUGUGGCCCAGGAGGGCAGUGGAGGAUGGCCCAAGGGUUUGGGCACCUGCACUCACACGGGGAGACCAGGAAGAGGUACCUGGCUACUGGCUUUGGAUCGGCGUAGCUCCGGCCAUUGUGGCCAUUGUGGUGAACCAACGGAAGGAAGACCUUUCUCUGUGUCUCUCUCCCUCACUGUCUAACUCUAUCUGUCAACUAAAUUUUAAAAAAUCAAUUUUAUAAUUUCAUAUUAAAUAAUUUAGGGCUAGGAACCUAGAAUAAGAAUAAAAAUCUGGGACAGGUGGGCUUGAAAAGCCCC
rnacentral:lncRNA from 1 species